rnacentral:lncRNA from 12 species
GUCCCUGAGCUCUGCUGGCGCGCCCGGGCCUCCUGUGGCCGAGGAGGGAGAGGGGCCCCCCUUUCUUUCCCACCCUCCAUCACACCUUCGGACCCCUCAUCGCAGCCAACGGUGUUCUUAAUAUCUUGCAAAGGCGUAGUAUCAGGCUGGGACAAGGCGGCUCAGUCCUGUCUGCACAUUCCAGCCCCUUCCUACCCCCAGACAGUCUGGAAGCAGGAGCUGAGCCUCCAGCCCACGGGAACAUACCUAAGACCAACCUCGUGUGUGUUCAGGAGAGAGAUAGGUGUGGGGUCCAGUUGAUGCUUCCAGCCACAGUAUAUUUGCUCCUAAACCUUCGUGUUCCUGUUCCCUGGCAAAAUGAGGAAAGGAGGAGGGCUCAGGAGAAGCCAUCAGAUCUUGUCCCAUAUUUGGUAUCUGCUUUUCCCAGCCCACAAGGGAAGGACCAUGUGCCAGGGGUCGUUGUCGUUCAGAGAUGUGGCUGUGGGCUUCACCCGAAAGGAAUGGCAACAGCUCGACCCUACACAGAGGAUGCUGUACCGGGACGUAAUGCUGGAGAACUACAGCCACCUGGUCUCCGUGGGAUGUCAAGUCACCAAACCAGCUGUGAUCUCCAGGUUGGAGCAAGGGCAAGAACCAUGGAUGGAAGAGGAGGAAAUCCUCAGAUGGAGCUUUCCAGAGCAGAACUUCGGAUAUGUUUUUGUUUCAGACCUUGAGAUGCCCUACAUAACUCAUGCUACCUAUACAUAUCACACAUCCAUACAUGAUUGUUGUUCUUUCCCUGGGUUUAAGAGAAAGACCUAUCCUGUUUUUAUUUAUUCUUUUAUUCAACCCCACCAUUCCCAUCUGAGACCUGCCUUGCUCAGUUUUUCUCUAGAAGCUUCAGUUACACUUUCCCCCAUGGUUAUGAAACAGACUUCCUCAUGUUUUCAUGGACUUGUAGAUGGCCCCUAUUUUAAAAUAACUUCUUUGUGCCACUCAUUUUAUUUUAGUGAUCUUUUCUUAUACUGUGAAAUGCUUUAA